rnacentral:misc_RNA from 1 species
AUGACAAUGUUUUCAUGGUGAUGGAAUACAUGGAACAUGACCUCAAGGGGCUUAUGCAGACGAUGAAACAACCCUUUAGUACAAGUGAAAUCAAAUGCUUAAUGCUACAGUUGUUGGAAGGUGUCAAGUAUCUUCACGAUAACUGGGUGCUUCAUAGGGAUUUGAAGACAUCAAACCUUCUUUUGAACAAUCAAGGGGAAUUAAAAAUAUGCGAUUUUGGGAUGUCACGCCAGUAUGGGAGCCCAUUGAAGCCAUAUACAUCUCUUGUGGUUACUUUGUGGUACAGGGCACCCGAGCUUCUGCUGGGGGCAAAGCAAUAUUCAACAGCAAUGGACAUGUGGUCUGUGGGUUGCAUAAUGGCUGAACUGUUGGCCAAGGAACCACUAUUCAGAGGGAAAGGCGAAAUUGAUCAGCUUGGCAAGAUUUUCAGAAUUCUUGGCACACCAAGUGAGACAAUUUGGCCUGGAUUUUCCAAAUUGCCAGGGGCUAAAGCAAAUUUUGUUCGGCAGCCGUAUAAUCUGUUGCGCAACAAGUUUCCUGCCUCAUCUUUCACGGGAUCUCCAGUUCUCUCUGAUUUGGGAUUUGACUUGUUGAACAAGCUUCUAACUUAUGAUCCAGAAAAGCGAAUAACAGCUGAUGCUGCCCUCAACCAUGCUUGGUUUCAUGAGGUUCCUUUACCUAAAUCUAAAGAAUUCAUGCCUACUUUCCCCCCUCAGCAUGCAAAGAAAAGAUAGAAGCCAGACCGCUAGAAGCAUCCUACUAUCUGAGUGAAUGUGUAGACUCUCUGUUAGCUUAUCUUGGGGUGUUUGAAAAGCUCAGAAUUUUCCUGGAGGAGAAUGAGGAAAGUGUCAGGUGUUAUCAGAGACUGGUGGAUUGUAUAUUUUUAAAGAACUAAUGCUUCAAAUCUUCUUGCAGAUGCAUGUCUGUAAUGAUUUUUUAGUCUUCUUUAACUGAAGAUCUUGGCUGUUGACCUUUCCCCUUUUGACAUUCAUCUUUGUGUUCAGGAUUGUGUUUUUCAAAAGAAAGAGAUUGACUCACACAGUCCCAUGGGAGACAUAUCUUUCUUUGUAAUGAUCCUGUAGCCUCCUAGAACUGUAAGGUCUUGGGUGUUGACAGAACUCUUUUGACAUCUACUUUCAGUUCUUCCCAAAGUUGGCUUGAGUUCUAGUUGUAAAUGGUUCGACUUAACUCAAGCCAACUUUGGGAAGAACUGAA